UCCCAUUACCAAACUGGUAAAUUAAAAUACAGAAGAACCACCCUGAAAAAUCAACUAAAGACUAGCUAGGGAGAUCCCUGAUAACCAAGGAUGGAAAGUGAAGACCACUAGAGACUGAUAGAAGUGAUGGAGGUGUGAAAGGGCUGGUUGGGCUCCCACAGGCAGCAGCUGACAUUCUGGAUGGAUAUCUCAGCUGUGAGGGUUCCCACUGACACCUCUAGGGUCUAAACCCCAA